AGAAUACUUCGGCAAAACUGUCGAAAGACAGUGACGCAAAGCUAUAGGGACUGUAAAAUGUCAGCCAGCUGCAAUU
rfam:Clostridiales bacterium KLE1615 genomic scaffold Scaffold140, whole genome shotgun sequence.